rnacentral:rRNA from 1 species
UGGAUGACUCUCGGCAACGGAUAUCUCGGCUCUCGCAUCGAUGAAGAACGUAGCGAAAUGCGAUACCUGGUGUGAAUUGCAGAAUCCCGUGAACCAUCGAGUCUUUGAACGCAAGUUGCGCCCGAGGCCAUCCGGCCAAGGGCACGCCUGCCUGGGCGUCACGA